rnacentral:rRNA from 1 species
GACGAACGCUGGCGGCGUGCUUAGCACAUGCAAGUCGAACGGUGAAGCGCCUUCCUUUUUGGUGGGUGUGGAUGAGUGGCGAACGGGUGAGUAACACGUGAGUAACCUGCCCCCUUCUUCUGGAUAACCGCAUGAAAGUGUGGCUAAUACGGGAUAUUCUGGGUCUGUCGCAUGAUGGGUCUGGGAAAGAUAUUGUUUCGGUGGGGGAUGGGCUCGCGGCCUAUCAGCUUGUUGGUGGGGUGAUGGCCUACCAAGGCGGUGACGGGUAGCCGGCCUGAGAGGGUGGACGGUCACACUGGGACUGAGACACGGCCCAGACUCCUACGGGAGGCAGCAGUGGGGAAUAUUGCACAAUGGGCGCAAGCCUGAUGCAGCGACGCCGCGUGAGGGAUGGAGGCCUUCGGGUUGUGAACCUCUUUCGCCAGUGAAGCAGGCCUGCCUCGUUUGUGGGUGGGUUGACGGUAGCUGGAGAAGAAGCGCCGGCUAACUACGUG